AGCAAGAUGGCUGCACCGGUGUCCUGUUCCAUGCGUAUAGGUUUGCCAUCCAACAACGGGGUUACCCAGUAUUCAUGUGAACCCACUGCCAAAAACAAAACAUGGAGUGGCUCUUCUUCUUGUGAUGAGGUGUCUCCUUGGUCAUCCUGGGUCUGCUCUAAGGUAUUACUCCUGUACCAUUUGCACCAUCCAUUGCAGGACACACAGUUUUUCUUAGAGUUAUCCAGAAUCCAUAGUUGUAAAGAAAGCAAUUUUAAAAACAGCCAACAUGAGACCCAGGGUGAUGGUAAUGGAGGAAUGCAGAGAUGCUCUUUGGAGACGUCAAGUGUGGACUUGUUUCAAUAGCUGAAGGCAUUCCAGAAUUCUCCAAAAGAACCAUGAAUGAUUGCAGGAGUGAAUGCCAUCCCCUGAGGAUGUGGAGGUGAAGAAUUCUGAACUAAGGUGUGAAAGAUAGGAACUCACGUGUCCAGUUGCAGAACUAAGAUGCACUCACUGGGACUGUACCAGUAUUUUAAAGAUGAUCUUAAAACCCUAAAAAGGUGUGUGUGUUUUUUAAAAUAUUGGACUUGCAUUCUUUUUCACUUCUCUAUGAUACCUUGAA